rnacentral:rRNA from 1 species
UACGAAGGGGGCUAGCGUUGUUCGGAAUCACUGGGCGUAAAGCGCACGUAGGCGGCUUCUUAAGUCAGGGGUGAAAUCCUGGAGCUCAACUCCAGAACUGCCUUUGAUACUGGGAGGCUCGAGUCCGGGAGAGGUGAGUGGAACUGCGAGUGUAGAGGUGAAAUUCGUAGAUAUUCGCAAGAACACCAGUGGCGAAGGCGGCUCACUGGCCCGGUACUGACGCUGAGGUGCGAAAGCGUGGGGAGCAAACAGGG